UACGUAGGGUGCGAGCGUUGUCCGGAAUUAUUGGGCGUAAAGGGCUCGUAGGCGGCUUGUCGCGUCGGGAGUGAAAUCACUGGGCUUAACCGAGUGCUUGCUUUCGAUACGGGCAGACUUGAGGCAUUGAGGGGAGAACGGAAUUCCUGGUGUAGCGGUGAAAUGCGCAGAUAUCAGGAGGAACACCGGUGGCGAAGGCGGUUCUCUAGUACGGUACUGACGCUGAGACGCGAAAGCGUGGGGAGCGAACAGG
rnacentral:rRNA from 1 species